rnacentral:lncRNA from 1 species
AUUUAACAUUGACAUUUCACAAAUAUUGCUGUAAAUCUGGUCAAAAUUAACAUUAAAAAGAAAAAAAUCACAUGUUUUUAAAAGUGUUUUGCUACUAAAUGUUGCAAAAAGUUGCUGUUUGUUUUAGAUUUUAGCACGCGCAACUUUACAAUCAACACUACCUCAACACCUUCCAGUUUCUCCACAAGCUUUUAGAUAAAGCUCUAUCGUGCUGGUGGUCCUUUUGGUUCGAGUCUUUUCUCCACGUGUUUGUGUUGUGCACGUGGAAACCUUCCCAUUGUUGGCCACAUGUGGCGCUGUUGCAGUGUUUGGACUCCUCAGGUGAAGAAUAGCUUAGUGUAGUUAAGUUGUUCAUCAGUGAAGUUGUUUCAGUUCUAACUCAACACUGACCACCAUGACGUCCACCUCAAAUAAUGGAGAACCUGUAACAUCCUCCUCAGGUGUUUCUGCACGUGAAGUGGACAGAACACCGCGUCGAUGUGACGGAGCUUUCUCAAUGUUUCCUCCCAACCAGAGACGGAGGAACGAGAUGAUGUCGGUGGCUCAAAAGGAAGAGGAGCUUCUUCAGAAGCACAAGGAAAACAACAAAGUCUCAGCUGUCCACACACACCCUGAACAACUCGGUAAAAAAGAUGGACUUGGACGAAAGGAGAAGACAGGAAGAAAGAGAAAAGGAUGAGAAUAUGAAAGCUGAACAAAGGAGGAAG